rnacentral:lncRNA from 1 species
ACUUCAAAAACCCCCCGUAGUUUCGUAGUUUGUCACUUUGCCCCCAUGUGGUUUAAAAUGUAUCAAAUUGCACCCAUGUGGUUUCGUUUUUAUUUUUUCGGUAGCUUUUUCGUUAAUAUUUCAUUAAAUUAUAUACAAAAAACUUCAGAUAUCCAUCUAGAUUUAUCAAAUAUUCACUUUAGUACCAUUUAAAUUAACUUUAUCACUGAUUUAAGAAAAAAAAACAAUGAAAUUGAUAAUAAAAAGAGAAAAACGAAACCACAGGGCGGCAAGUUGAUACAGUUUAAAUCACAGGGUACUAAAGUGAGAAACU